CAACAACUCCCAGAAUCCUUUGGGGGAAGCCAUGACUGUUUAUAGUGGCACCCUAUACAUGUGAAUGUGGCCUCAAGUUAAGUUUUGGGACCAAGGAGGGGUUUUGUUUGUGACAUUUAAGUCCCACACUCUUAACCACGGCACCCCACUGUUUUUUAGGGUCAGUAGGUUAAGAUAUCUCCACGGAGGGAGGCAAAAUGGGUGGGUGGGGAAGUUAACCGAGGCCUUUCUGGAAAUGGUCGGAUGCCGCUGUUAGACGUGAAACCUCUUUUUGGGAGGUUCUUUUUAGGUACGGGUUUCAAAGGCUCUUCUAUUAAUUUACUUUAGUUCAGGGGUGGAGAACAUCAGGCCUGGGAGCUGAGGCGGCCCCCAGGCCUCUCUUAUGCGGCCCUCAGCAGCCAGGCCACACCUUUGGUGACUUCGAGCUCUGAUAAUGCUUCUCUCUCCUGACUAGAAGACAGAGAGGGGUGCUUGAGUGUAGAAAGCAGUUAUACAAUUCACAUUCAUUGCCCCACGCAUUUUUGCUCCUUAACCCAGUCCGCCAUUGGCAAGCAGCCCCUGUAAGAGAAUGUGGCCCUCAGCCUGAAAAGCGUUCCCUGCUCUCUGCCAGGCCUGUUUGCACCCAUCUGCCCCGUCUCGCCUCGCAAGGCGUCCCCACUGCCCUUGUUGAUACGUGGCGUGUUGCACAUACCUGAGCAGGCCUCCCCUUUCCUAGCAGUUGACAAACUGGUCUGGCUGAGUCACGAUGGGAAGGGGAGCGGAGCGGGAAGGAAGCAGAAUAGAAAUGCCCAGGAAAUAAUGGGCAGGUAGUUUAUACAGGUCGCAGAAUCGCUCUUUGCUAGCUUCAGAUUUAAGUGCUUAGUAUAUAUAAACACCUUGCAGAGCCUUGAUAGAUUUAGCAUUGAUUUGAUCUAUGCUGGAAGGCUCUGGGAUUCCAUUAUUAUUAUUAUUAUUAUUAGAGUCGUAAUAAUACGACAAAAGCUUGUGUCUUGUGGGAGUAUAUAGAAGCUGGGAGGAUUCCUAAUGGAUCUAGAAAAGAGACUUUUCUAGUCCAGUUUAGUGGGAGAUGGAGGUGGCGGGUGGUUAGGAAACAAGGCCUUUGCAGAAAUGGAAAUGUGGAUGUUUUUGGAGCUGGUGUGUUCCUUUUUUUAUUUUUUAAGUGGAACAAAGUUCAUCUGUUCUGCUUUGCUGCCAGACUCAAAACACGAGAGAGAUUGUCUGUAACCUCCUUUUCCAACCUGGUGCCCUCUGUAGACGUUUCGGACUACGAAAGCCAUGUUGACUGGGACUGAUGGGAGUUGUAGUCGAAAACUGGUGGGAGAAGGCUGGAGAGUCUGAGUAGGGCUUUCUUUGUCUCUCCGUCUCUCUCUCUGUGUGUGUUUGUGUGUGGUAUGAAGUCUUUCCUACCUUUUAAAAAAAGAAAGGUGCAGCAGUGGCUGCUUUGAAUUUUUUCACUGUGCCCCUUAAACCCCGAGCCUCAAUGAUUCAUUGAGAAAGUGCAUUCCAAGAAUCUGCAACUCUUGGGAGUGACUCUGAAAAAAAUUAUAUAUCGUGGUGUGUGUUUUAAAUUAAAAAAAAAAUUAAAAAAAGGGAAAAUGCAGGAGGGAACCGGAUCUCCUUUUGAGAGGGGUGUCUGUUGUGGGAGGAGAAGGCUUCCUGAGACACUCUGAAGAAUGGAGGUUCUGCAUUCCAGAGGUGGCUUAUUUCUGACCCUGGCUAGCCAAGGAAUUUCACAGUGAACAGGAGAAGGGGUGGGAUUCUUGGUUGGGAGAGAGAGAGGCGAAUGGGAGGGGCGCGAGGGGCUUCAGAAGCAAAGGGCCCCCCUCCUGGCUUGUAUUUACAAAGGAAACUCUCUCUCUCUGUGUGUGUGUGUGUCCCAUGUCUGUGUACGCGCUUGCACACACACGUGUGUGCCUGCAACAUUCCUAGAUUUGUGUCCAAUUCGGCAGUGGACAUCAGGGGGGCCGAUUGGAAUGCAAGGAAUCAAAUCGGCCUGAGGUGGCAAAGGGUGAUGGAACCGCUUCCAUCCUGUUAUUGCAUAAACUUGUUAAAGAGAACCCCUCUCUCUCUUUUUAAAAAAGGAGCCAUGCGUAGGAUAUCAGUGCUUGCUGAGGAAGGUUUGACUGUGUGUGUUUUUGUGAAGUUUUGACCUGCCUACACAGCUCAUUGGGAUGGCGGGUGAAAUCAGAUGGAUGAUACGCGCACACACAUAUAUAUUCAGGAGCAAAAUGGUGUUUGUUUGGCGGGCGUCUUCAUCAUCCUGUCCCUCCACCGAGGAGGACAUACUUUCUCUCUGAGUCAUUGCAGUGGCCAGAUUCUUGCCUU